AAUUUUUUACUUGGCUGGCUUAGUUAAAAAUUUUGUUUUAUUGGAUUUGAUCUAAAAAGACGGUUUUGGCGAAAAAUGUCAAUCAAACAAACCUCUGCCCACAUAGUUUUAUCCCAUUGAUGAACAAAUUUUCUAUAAGAUCGGUUAGUUUUUAGCCCUUGCUUUUAUCGUGUUUGGACUAAAAGAAGGUUUCAACAAAAAAGUUAAGCAAAAACAACAGUCGCAAUGUUGUCACGUCAAUGUUCUUGGUAUUUGAAGACUUGUUGCUUGUCAAACGGAGUUAGGCCAUUUGUAUACCCUAUUUCGUUAACUUUCUACAAAGAUACUGUUUUCCAAACUGUUUUAAAACGUAUUUAAUAAAUUCGUGUUCUCAAAUUG